AAGACUAUACUUUUAGGGAUCAUUUCUAUAGUUUUUGACUAGGAAUUGUGUUUCGCAAGUGUUGUGUCUUUCAAACCACAACGAAUGAGUCUUGAUAUUCUUUUCUGAACAUGAAUCAGGUGUAGAGUAAUGAUUUAUUUCAUAAGCUUUAUGUGAUUGAUGAUUGUUCUGUGUUGUUGUUUUUCUGUACAGAGGAAAGGAGUAUGGUCAGAGUGGC